rnacentral:rRNA from 1 species
UGGGGAAUAUUGGACAAUGGAGGGAACUCUGAUCCAGCAAUUCUGUGUGUGUGAAGAAGGUUUUAGGACUGUAAAACACUUUUAGUAGGGAAGAAAAAAAUGACGGUACCUACAGAAGAAGCAACGGCUAAAUACGUGCCAGCAGCCGCGGUAAUACGUAUGUUGCGAGCGUUAUCCGGAAUUAUUGGGCUUAAAGGGCAUCUAGGCGGUAAGACAAGUUGAAGGUGAAAACCUGUGGCUCAACCAUAGGCUUGCCUACAAAACUGUUGAACUAGAGUACUGGAAAGGUGGGUGGAACUACACGAGUAGAGGUGAAAUUCGUAGAUAUGUGUAGGAAUGCCGAUGAUGAAGAUAACUCACUGGACAGAAACUGACGCUAAAGUGCGAAAGCUAGGGGAGCAAACAGG